GAGUUUGAUCAUGGCUCAGGAUGAACGCUAGCGGAGGGCCUAAUACAUGCAAGUCGAGGGGUAACAGGGGAGCUUGCUCCCGCUGACGACCGGCGAACGGGUGAGUAACGCGUACGUAACCUACCUUCAAGAGAGGGAUAGCCCUGGGAAACUGGGAUUAAUACCUCAUGGCAUCAUAAGAUCACCUGAUCUAAUGAUUAAAGCUGAGGCGCUUGAAGAUGGGCGUGCGUUCUAUUAGAUAGUUGGUGAGGUAACGGCUCACCAAGUCAGCGAUAGAUAGGGGGCGUGAGAGCGUGGUCCCCCACACGGGUACUGAGACACGGACCCGACUCCUACGGGAGGCAGCAGUAAGGAAUAUUGGACAAUGGGCGAAAGCCUGAUCCAGCCAUUCCGCGUGUAGGAUGACGGCCCUCUGGGUUGUAAACUACUUUUAUUUGGGAAGAAACCUUGGGAUUUAUCCCGGGCUGACGGUACCAAAAGAAUAAGCACCGGCUAAUUCCGUGCCAGCAGCCGCGGUAAUACGGAAGGUGCGAGCGUUAUCCGGAAUCACUGGGUUUAAAGGGUGCGUAGGCGGUUGCGUAAGUCAGAAGUGAAAGCUCACAGCUUAACUGUGGAAUUGCUUUUGAUACUGCGUGACUAGAAUUAGGUUGAGGUUGGCGGAAUGUGACAUGUAGCGGUGAAAUGCAUAGAUAUGUCAUAGAACACCAAUUGCGAAGGCAGCUGACUGGACCUAUAUUGACGCUGAGGCACGAAAGCGUGGGGAGCGAACAGGAUUAGAUACCCUGGUAGUCCACGCCCUAAACGAUGCUUACUCGAUGUGUGAACUAUUGCGCAUCCAAGGGAAACCGUUAAGUAAGCCACCUGGGGAGUACGUUCGCAAGAAUGAAACUCAAAGGAAUUUGACNGGGUCCGCACAAGCGGUGGAGCAUGUGGUUUAAUUCGAUGAUACGCGAGGAACCUUACCUGGGCUCGAAUGGAAUUUAGAC
rnacentral:rRNA from 1 species